rnacentral:lncRNA from 1 species
GCUAUGAUAGAUUCCACCAGGAAAAUUGUGACUGAGGGGGCUCGGGGAGCAUAUAGCAUGGAGUUGCUCCUCACCGUUCAGUCGCGGAGCACCAGAACUGUUUGAAACAGGCAUUCAAUCAUGGAAUCCACUCUCACUGCCCGGCAGAUCAUGGGCCUGAUCUGGGUGGUGGCCAUGCUCCAGGUGUCUGGUGCAAUUGAUUCUAAGUUAUCAACAUGCUGCUCUAAAACCAGCCAAGCUCCUUUUAAAGCGCCAGUCAAGGGAUGCAGGAUUCAUCCGAAAUCAGAGUUCUGCGCUCAUGCAGUUCAAUUUUUCGGUGAAGACGGAAACACAUACUGCAGCCGCCCUGGAUUAAGAUGGGUUGCUGCUAAGAUUGCUAUAUUGGCAAAGAAUGGCACGCAAUGCUCGGAUCAUACAAAGUCAGCAUAAUAAGAAGUGGAUUGAAUGUGUGAUUUUUUUAUUUCCUAAUGCUUUUUUAUGCAUAGAAUUUUUUUCAGUGUAUCCAAAAAAUGCAUUGUUUUUAGUAUGAUCAUUUAGUUUAUAAUUAUUGUGAGGAAAAAUGAGAGAUGACUAGAUGGGCAUAAUUACUGUUUACAAUAUUAGGAUUAUGGCUAAUAUUUUAUACUGAAACAAGACUAAAGUUUACAGAUUUGUAUUGUGUUAAUAUAUUUGUUUGAGUUU